rnacentral:rRNA from 1 species
ACUGGGUCUAAUACCGGAUAGGACCACGGGAUGCAUGUCUUGUGGUGGAAAGCGCUUUAGCGGUGUGGGAUGAGCCCGCGGCCUAUCAGCUUGUUGGUGGGGUGACGGCCUACCAAGGCGACGACGGGUAGCCGGCCUGAGAGGGUGUCCGGCCACACUGGGACUGAGAUACGGCCCAGACUCCUACGGGAGGCAGCAGUGGGGAAUAUUGCACAAUGGGCGCAAGCCUGAUGCAGCGACGCCGCGUGGGGGAUGACGGCCUUCGGGUUGUAAACCUCUUUCACCAUCGACGAAGGUCCGGGUUCUCUCGGAUUGACGGUAGGUGGAGAAGAAGCACCGGCCAACUACGUGCCAGCAGCCGCGGUAAUACGUAGGGUGCGAGCGUUGUCCGGAAUUACUGGGCGUAAAGAGCUCGUAGGUGGUUUGUCGCGUUGUUCGUGAAAUCUCACGGCUUAACUGUGAGCGUGCGGGCGAUACGGGCAGACUAGAGUACUGCAGGGGAGACUGGAAUUCCUGGUGUAGCGGUGGAAUGCGCAGAUAUCAGGAGGAACACCGGUGGCGAAGGCGGGUCUCUGGGCAGUAACUGACGCUGAGGAGCGAAAGCGUGGGGAGCGAACAGGAUUAGAUACCCUGGUAGUCCACGCCGUAAACGGUGGGUACUAGGUGUGGGUUUCCUUCCUUGGGAUCCGUGCCGUAGCUAACGCAUUAAGUACCCCGCCUGGGGAGUACGGCCGCAAGGCUAAAACUCAAAGGAAUUGACGGGGGCCCGCACAAGCGGCGGAGC